UCUCAUAAGAAGCAGGAGGCAGGGCUCUCUCAGUCUUUAAAGGUGCGCAGCUGAGCUUUGUUGGCAGAUUGUAAAGUGUUUCAGACCCAUACAGGCUAAGCAGCGACUCUGAGGGAUCCUUAUAUCUGGUCUAUCAGUGACUCUAGUCAGCAGGUAGAGAAACCUCUGAGGAGAGGAAGAAGCUAUUCCCUCAUGGACCCUAACACUACCAGCGCAGGCAGCGUGCAGUAUGACCGCUGGAACGAGGACAACAUCAACAUGAACGUAAAGGCAUCAUCACAGACUACUUCACAGAGGAUCUACAGCAGUCUGUGUAACGGCAGCUCUGGAGUAGCAGUGAAGACGGCCGGAGCUUUGGCUGCAUUGGUGUCCAUCUACAUUAUAGGAUACGUAACGGGAUACUACGUCCAUAGGUGCUGAUGGUGGAUCAUUAUGAUUUUGGAUAAACUACAACAUUUAAAAAAAGUGUUUUGAAUAAAAGUCCCAAAGGUUUAUGUAAGUCAUCA